AUGGUCGAAGGCUCGGAGAUGGACAUCGCCAAUCUCAAAUUCCUCCUCCUUUGCUUUCAGCAGAUGUCGGGCCUCAAGAUCAAUUUUGAUAAGAGCGAUGUUAUGGUGAUGGGAUACUCUCCCGAGGAGUCAGUGGCCAUUGCCAAUAGACUCAAUUGCCGCUUGGGCUCGUUUCCUUCUACCUAUCUGGGGACGCCCAUCAGUCACUCGCGCCUCUUGGCCGCCGAUCUUCGCCCCUCCGUGACCAAGCUCCAGACUAGAUGCGAGCCUUGGCAGGGGAGGUGGCUGUCCAAGGCGGCCAGGACUAUUCUUAUCAACUCCUCCCUCUCCAGUCUCCUCUUAUUUCUUAUGAGUCUCUACAGCCUUCACGAUUCUCUUCAUAAGGAGAUCGCCAAAAUCCAGUCCCGCUUCUAUUGGGCUGGGGAGCACGGCAAGCAGAAGUAUCACAUGGUCAGCUGGCCUGACAUCUGCAAGCCGAGGGAGCAGGGGGGUUUGGGGAUCAUGUGCUCCAAACGGAUGAAUAUUGCCCUCCUCUCCUGA
rnacentral:rRNA from 1 species